AACGAACGCUGGCGGCAGGCUUAACACAUGCAAGUCGAACGCAUCGCAAGAUGAGUGGCAGACGGGUGAGUAACGCGUGGGAAUCUACCCAGUUCUACGGAACAACAGUUGGAAACGACUGCUAAUACCGUAUACGCCCUACGGGGGAAAGAUUUAUCGGGAUUGGAUGAGCCCGCGUAAGAUUAGCUAGUUGGUGGGGUAAUGGCCUACCAAGGCGACGAUCUUUAGCUGGUCUGAGAGGAUGAUCAGCCACACUGGGACUGAGACACGGCCCAGACUCCUACGGGAGGCAGCAGUGGGGAAUAUUGGACAAUGGGCGCAAGCCUGAUCCAGCCAUGCCGCGUGAGUGAUGAAGGCCUUAGGGUUGUAAAGCUCUUUCACCGAUGAAGAUAAUGACGGUAGUCGGAGAAGAAGCCCCGGCUAACUUCGUGCCAGCCGCCGCAGUAACAC
rnacentral:rRNA from 1 species